GCACAAUACGUGCAUUAUUCAGAACAUUCAAGUAAUAAAAUACAUUUUAAGCCGAAGCUUGUUUUUGGAUGAAACAUCAGUGAAUAACUCCGAUUACCUCCGAUAAAAAAGUGUCGAUCAAGUUAAAAGUUGGACACCAAACCCCAAGUCCAAGAAAUUUGUUCAAAACGUCUAUCGAACUUCUGAUAUGAAAGAUUUGUAAGAAGAAAAGCAUAUUGUUGCUAGAAUCUGUUAAUCACGUUCAUGUGUUUGUGGCAGUUAUCAAUUUACAAAUAAAACUCUUGAAUCCACAUCCAUAGUUUUAAUUAACAAAAUUGUUAUGAAACAUUUCUUGUACAAGAAUAAUGUGCCUCACAGCUUACAACAAACGCAGUUGCCUUAAGGAAACCUUUAGUGGUGCAGAGGUUUAGUUGAUUGACUAAAAAUCGGAAAACUCUCCAAAUGUUCCGUAGAUAUUUGACUUAUACUGGGUAGCAAGAUUGUUUUAUUACCUUUCGGUAAAUUUCAAAGGUUUGUUAAGGACUAAUAGAUAACAAUCACAAAUUUAGUUUUGUGCUUCAGCGAUAGGAGUUUGUGACAUAACGUGUUGGAGUUCUGCAGUUCAUCGAAUCAUUUAAAAGAAAUUUUUGCUACUAUGAAUAAGGUCACAAGCCAGCCUAUCUACGGGGAAGCAAACCCAAAUUAAUCCUUUCUUUGGUUCUAACCAAGAACAAAUCUUGUUGGAUACAAUUUUCACUUUCUACUGACGUUGCCUGCAGAUGCUUCUAUCUGAGUUGAUUAUGUCUGAUAGAUUUGUAAUUACCUUUUAUGAGUAA